rnacentral:piRNA from 1 species
UGGGCUGGUGGAAGUACACGCAAGACACACC